UGGGCUCCCUGGGUCCCCUUUCCCUCUGCUGUUGGAGGUGGACUUGGGUGGGGGCCCGAGGAGAUCUGGGAACACCGAUUUUCUGAGCUCAUAGAGCCCCUGGCAAGCUCAAUCUGCAUCCUUUUCUGGCUUUUCCCUUGUUCCUCCCCUGCAGAGGCCUGAACAAUGCUCUUCCUGAGCCCAACAAAUACUUAUUGAUGAGCUGGAGUGGAGGGAAAAAGAGAUUUAUGGGGGAAGAGUGGCAGCAAAUAAAAAGAGAGGUUCCCCCACGGACCCCAGGGUCGUGCAUAAUCAACGCAACCCCUUUCCAGAUUAUAAAGUCAGUUUGCAGAGGAGAGAAGGGACAGCGAUGCUGAAUUUUAUUCCUACCUCCGGCACUCGCGUCCAGCCCCUGGGGUGACCAUCGGAGCCGCCCUUGAUCGCCAUCUCUGCGGCAGACUGGAAGGACUGCGCACGGCCAAGCAGGUGAAAAGGAAGUGGUGUUAUCUGGCCGGCAAUGAAUCUCGCCAGUCUUUGUCUACUGCUAGAACGAAUUCAUCCGCAGGUGCCGUGUUAUUUACUGAUUUAAUCAUCCCAUUCGGUGCCACUUCACAACCGCGCACUUUUAAGUAAAAUAAUGUUCGACUGCACGUAUCUCGAUUACACGUGUCAGCAGAGAGAGGAAGGGAGGCAUUCGGCUUCCUGCUGUGUGCUUGCUCUUGCUGGCUCCGAACACCUCUGGCUGGGAGCAGUCAGGUUUCCCGCACCAGCUGUGGUGGCGGAAGUGGGUUGCAGGGAGGAGGACAGAGGCCCACUCAUCCGUUCAGCAUACGGCUGUCCUGGUGCUGGCUCUCAGGGAAGCAGAGCCAGGCGAGUCAGGGAUCCCAGAGCAAGGAGCGAGACAGAGACGAGGAGGCAGCCAACCAGGGGCUCAUUGUUGAGUCAGCUCCAUCGUGGGCGCUGAGCUCGCCCUGGGCACAUGCUUGACUCCGCCUACCUGAGGGGGCAGGGGACCUGGGAUAUCGAACCCCAGUUCCCACCUAUCACUGGUUGCCAAUCACUUCUAGGGUGGUGAAAUAAGCCUUGAUGGCCAGAGAAAGUCCUCAAGCAGAUGCUCUCAGUUCGGAGUGCGAGGCUGCACCAAAGUGAUAAGGCUUACUGCACAGUGGCAGAAAAAUUCCGGACACCCAAUAAAGAAUCACCAGUAGCUCUGGCAAACCUGGGAAAGUGGAUGAGCAGUCAAAAGCUAUGCUGACCACGGGACUGAUGCCAUCUACCUGCAACCUGGGUGGCCACAUUUCAUUAAGAGGAGAGAGUGACAGAAAUUUCCAGAUGAAAAGGAGAACACAUUGAAGAGAAAAACCACUGGGCAGCGCACCACAAUCAAGUCCUCUUUCUCACUGUCCCCCUCUGUCAUCUCCCCUGAUCUAACGCCGAGUCACUGGGAUGGGGACACAUUAGAGUUCUGUGAAGUGGCUGUGGUUAAUACAGCCUUCAUGUGCAGCUGAUGUUUUUGUUCCUUAACUACCUCUUGUUCCUUUGAGGGAGCAAGAGGCUGCAUUCUGUACCAGAGUUGGGCUCUGCUGUGCACAUUCCCCGGAGAUGUCACCGCAGACAACAUAGAAGGAUGUUUCAGAAACCCUUGACUCAGAAUCCCUUGGCCAUUCCCUAGUAAUUAAAGGUUGAA